CAGCAGCCGCGGGAAUACGGAGGGUGCAAGCGUUAUCCGGAUUUAUUGGGUUUAAAGGGUCCGUAGGCGGAUCUGUAAGUCAGUGGUGAAAUCUCACAGCUUAACUGUGAAACUGCCAUUGAUACUGCAGGUCUUGAGUAAAUUUGAAGUGGCUGGAAUAAGUAGUGUAGCGGUGAAAUGCAUAGAUAUUACUUAGAACACCAAUUGCGAAGGCAGGUCACUAAGAUUUAACUGACGCUGAUGGACGAAAGCGUGGGGAGCGAACAGGAUUAGAUACCCCUGUAGUCCCUGUCUCUUAUAA
rnacentral:rRNA from 1 species